GCGAAAGUGGCGGAACUGGCAGACGCGUCGGACUUAGGAUCCGGCGGCCGAAAGGCCGUGGGGGUUCGAAUCCCCCCUUUCGCACCA
rnacentral:tRNA from 1 species